UGGGGAAUUUUGCGCAAUGGGGGAAACCCUGACGCAGCAACGCCGCGUGAGUGAUGAAGGCUCUUGGGUCGUAAAGCUCUUACAGAGGGAAAGAAGUGUGCGAGGGCUAAUAUCCCUUGUACUUGACGGUACCCUCAAAGGAAGCACCGGCUAACUCCGUGCCAGCAGCCGCGGUAAUACGGGGGGUGCAAGCGUUGUUCGGAUUUAUUGGGCGUAAAGCGCGUGUAGGCGGUUUGUUAAGUCUGUUGUGAAAGCCCUGGGCUCAACCCGGGAAGUGCACUGGAUACUGGCAAACUUGAAUACGGGAGAGGGUAGUGGAAUUCCUGGUGUAGGAGUGAAAUCCGUAGGUAUCAGGAGGAACACCGGUGGCGAAGGCGGCUACCUGGACCGAUAUUGACGCUGAGACGCGAAAGCGUGGGUAGCAAACAGG
rnacentral:rRNA from 1 species